GCUGUUUCAAUAUGGUCUGUUUGAUGAAAUACACAUUGAGAUUCAUAAAGAGCAGCUAAGCCUAGAAAGAUAAUGGAGGCAUAACCACCCACAUAUUCAAAGGGAUUCAAAUUCACGCUACAAGUUCAUCAUGUGAAAAUCCUUAAAAAAAAGUCCUUCAGUUGUAGAUUCCAUGGUCUCCCAGUCAUGAAAACAUAAUUAAUUUGACAAUCAAAGUUAAUCCAGCAAAGACAGUGAGCAGGAUUGUACAAGGAAAGAGUGGAAUCACAGAACUCCCAUCAGGAAAAUAAACCCAGAACAUUUAGUGUACCGAUGUGGAAUCUGUGGCAUAGACAAGUGAAGAAUUUCUUCUAUAUUCAUUUGGAGAAAAGAGAUGUGAUUACCAAGCUUAAGUGUGCUGUAUAUUAAAUGAAAAUUCUGAUCAUAAAGAAAGUCCCCAAACUCAGGAGUAUGAAGGAUGUUCAGAAAGCCAACAAGGAAAAUCGACCACUCAAAAAUAGUACAGAUAUGCAGAUGGAAAGGAACAAAAGUCAUUAUGAUUGUGGUAACCAAGACACAGAACACAAAUAUGAUGUCCGGACCCUACUGCCGAAGACAAGACCUAUAGAACUUGCUGAAAAUGGAGGAGUGUCUUCUUUGCUCAGCCAUCAUGAGAGAAGCUUCCUCCUGAAGCAGAUGGCAAAUGGCCAAUAUCAGAUAUUAUGCAGCUAGUGAGAGCCUUUGGACCAUUCAGCCCAAAACAAGAUGAUUCCAUCAAGCCCUUUCCCUCAGUUCUCAGAGAACUCUUGGAAGAGGUAGCAGAAAGAGUAUAAGAUCCACACGUGAUGGAGGAAACAUGAUCUUCUAAACACACCAGGACUUAUGCACAUAAGAACUCACAGACUAAGACAACAUGAACAGAGCCUGCAAGGGUUUGCAGCAGGUCUGGGACUACAAGUGUUCACCACUACAGCUGUCUUUUAUGUGGGAGUUGGAAAUUGAGCUCAAGCCCUUAUGUCUGCGCAUCAGGAACUUUGCCCAGAGAGCUGUGUCCCUACCCCUAUACAACAUGAUUUCUUUAUAUUUAUUGCCCAAGGAAAUAUUUUCAACUAGUUCCUAGAAUUCAUCAAUGGCUAAAGAAACCUGUGUUAAUUGUAA